rnacentral:rRNA from 1 species
AUACGUAGGUGACAAGCGUUAUCCGGAUUUACUGGGCGUAAAGGGCGUGUAGGCGGUCUUGCAAGUCAGGAGUGAAAUCUAGGGGCUCAACCCCUAAACUGCUUUUGAAACUGUAUCCCUUGAGUAUCGGAGAGGCAGGCGGAAUUCCCAGUGUAGCGGUGAAAUGCGUAGAUAUUAGGAGGAACACCAGUGGCGAAGGCGGCCUGCUGGACGACAACUGACGCUGAGGCGCGAAAGCGUGGGGAGCAAACAGGAUUAGAUACCCUGGUAGUCCACGCUGUAAACGAUGAAUACUAGGUGUGGGGGGACUGACCCCCUCCGUGCCGCAGUUAACACAAUAAGUAUUCCGCCUGGGGAGUACGAUCGCAAGAUUGAAACUCAAAGGAAUUGACGGGG